rnacentral:misc_RNA from 1 species
GAUGAAGAACGUAGCGAAAUGCGAUAAGUAGUGUGAAUUGCAGAAUUCCGUGAAUCAUCGAAUCUUUGAACGCACAUUGCGCCUUCUGGUAUUCCGGAAGGCAUGCCUGUUCGAGAGUCAUUAACAACCGUUUCGAUCCCUUUCUUUCAGAAAUUACAAAGAGGAAAAGGGUUUGGUUAUGGUGGAGGAGGGAAAGGGAGCGUUUAGCCUGUAAAAAAAGAGGCUGUGUUCCGCCUCCCCCCCAAAAUUGUACAGGCGGUCGUGUGCGCCCACGCAUCGAGGUGUUGUAAAAGCUGCCACGGCACUUUUCACCUGUGCAGUGCGAGAUUGGCCAGCCGGUUUAAAAACCCCUCCAAACAAUCAAAGGUUGACCUCGGAUCAGGUAGGGAUACCCGCUGAACUUAAGCAUAUCAAUAGCGGAGGA